CUGGUCUCCUAUAGUUAGACAGUCUUGCCCCGACUCUCUCUCUCUCUCUCUCUCUCGCUCGCUCGCUCGCUCAAAGCUGCUAAGACCAAUCCGGCCUCAGUUGCUAUCACGACUAAAGAAUCAAGCAAGGUUGUUGUCUAUGAGUAACCUCUCAGGUCUCUCUAUCGCUGCCCUAAAUUGGUGAUUUCUGUUCGUCUCAAUCAGGUGAUUUCUGUUCGUCUCAAUCCGGCCUCAGUUGCUAUCACGACUAAAGAAUCAAGCAAGGUCUCUCUAUCGCUGGCCCUAAAUUGGUGAUUUCUGUUCGUCUCAAUCAGGUGAUUUCUGUUCCUCUCAAUCUGGCCUCAGUUGCUAUCACGACUAAAGAAUCAAGCAAGGUCUCUCUAUCGCUGCCCUAAAUUGGUGAUUUCUGUUCUUCUCAAUCAGCAAAGGUGAUCCAUAUCUCCGUCGCCAAGAUCCUUGAGAAAAUAGAAAUACAAGCAUGCCUUCUCCUCAGGAAGUGUUGGGAAAGGGUUCAGAUGGACAGGGUGGUUCUAAUGGAAAUGGUGGCACUCAGCCACCGACUGCUCAAGAUGUACUUGGCCGGCCGAAAUGACAAGGAAAACUGUUAUGCGAAGAAUUGCUCAAUGAUACUCUUCUCUGUUCCGGUCUCUGCAGAUAUACGCAUGCAAGUCUUAACUUAUAUUUACAAAUUAUCUUAAUUUUUGUACAUAUUACAAGUCUAUUCAAAUAUGUAGACAUAUCGAAAAGGAGUGGCUGGUGCUCCCUGAAUAAAUCCCACUGGGUGUGUAAUAGAUCGAAGAAAUUAAUAUAUACAAUAUACAUAU